rnacentral:ncRNA from 1 species
ACAGUACAAACUGAACAGGCCGGGAGAAUCCUGAGAGCCGGGUCGCCCUUGCGACAGUAGAGUGACAUCUACGGGACAGU